GCACGAACAACAUUAUCUGAUGUGGCCAUGCAUUCAAUACAUUCCCCCGAAAUAUAUGCAUGAGGCUCAUUAGCACCAAGGUACAGUGCUUCACCAGGGUUAAGCUUCACAUAGUUAAAGAAGAAGGCUGCUAUAACUCCAACAUCAGAUGGGUACUGAUUCUCCAAUAAUAAUGCCAACUCUUCUUUCACUGUUAACAUUCUCACCUCACUCUCCGAGUUAAG
rnacentral:misc_RNA from 1 species